UACGUAGGGGGCGAGCGUUGUCCGAAGUUACUGGGCGUAAAGCGCGCGUAGGCGGUUCAUUUAGUUCGGGGUGAAAGGUUCAACGCUCAACGUGAACAGUGCCUUGAAUACUGGUGGACUUGAGUUCGGGAGAGGGCAGUGGAAUUCCUGGUGUAGCGGUGAAAUGCGUAGAUAUCAGGAGGAACACCGAUGGCGAAGGCAGCUGCCUGGCCUAGAACUGACGCUGAGGUGCGAAAGCGUGGGGAGCGAACAGG
rnacentral:rRNA from 1 species